rnacentral:misc_RNA from 1 species
ACGUCAUCCCCACCUUCCUCCGAGUUGACCCCGGCAGUCUCCCGCAAGUCCCCAGCCGGCCGAAACCGCUGCUGGCAAUACAGGACGAGGGUUGCGCUCGUUGCGGGACUUAACCCAACAUCUCACGACACGAGCUGACGACAACCAUGCACCACCUGUGCACGACCCCAAAGGACACGCGAUCUCUCGCGCUGCACCGUGCAUGUCAAGCCCUGGUAAGGUUCUUCGCGUCGCAUCGAAUUAAGCCGCAUGCUCCGCCGCUUGUGCGGGCCCCCGUCAAUUCCUUUGAGUUUUAGCCUUGCGGCCGUACUCCCCAGGCGGGGCGCUUAAUGCGUUAGCUGCGGCACGGAGCCCGUGGAAACAGGCCCCACACCUAGCGCCCAACGUUUACGGCGUGGAC